rfam:Triticum aestivum genome assembly, contig: Triticum_aestivum_CS42_TGACv1_scaffold_146337_2BS
AACAUACUCCCUCCAUCUGGAAAUACUUGUCGGAGAAAUGAAUGUAUCUAAACGUAUUUUAGUUAUAGAUACAUCCAUUUUCAUCCAUUUUCCCUACAAGUAAUUAUGGACGGAGGGAGUACAUC